CGCACUCCUGGGCCCGCCCAGCCGCCAUCUUGAUCUAGGAGGGAGCGCGCCGCACGCGUGAGUAAACAGCCGGAGCCGGGAAAGUCGAGCUCUGGCAGCGUCCGGGUGCCGAGGGGCAGAGGCGGAGAGAACCCUGUCCUGAUCUUCCUAGGUGGGAUAAAUAUCGGGGUCACAGUGGUAGGCCGCGGGGAACCCUCAGUCUGCCCACCCUCCGCCCCUCUCGGCGAGAUGCCUCGUUCCCCGGGCUUCUCCCGCCCUCCGCCGAUCUCCUCCCUCUGUUGAAAGCUGCCCGGGAAAGUGGUGGCGGGAGCGGGCCCAGGCCCGAAUGUGGCGUGGGCUCAGGUGCCUGGUGCCGGGCGCCGGAGGAGGUUCGCGCUGGGGUUUGGUGCUUUGGAGGCCUGGGGUGCAGACGCGGCGUGGCUGUGAGGCCGGGGCGGGCGUGCGGGUGUGAGGGCCGGACUCACACUGGGCCGCCGCGGGGCUGUUUCCAUCGGUCACUGGAUUUUCUCCUCUUCCGGUUCGGGCCUCAGGGUGGCCGACAUGACGGCCAGGGGUCAGAGCCCCCUCGCGCCGUUGUUGGAGACUUUGGAAGACCCUUCUGCCUCCCAUGGAGGGCAGACUGACGCUUACCUGACUCUGACCAGUCGUAUGACUGGAGAAGAAGGAAAAGAAGUAAUUACGGAAAUUGAGAAAAAACUUCCUCGGCUGUACAAAGUUUUAAAGACUCACAUUUCCAGUCAAAACUCGGAGCUGAGUAGUGCUGCUCUACAAGCCCUGGGGUUUUGCUUAUAUAAUCCCAAAAUUACCUCAGAAUUAUCAGAGGCAAAUGCUCUGGAAUUGCUUUCAAAAUUGAGUGAUACCAUUAAGAGUUCAGACAAAAAUGUACGUACCAGAGCACUUUGGGUGAUAUCUAAGCAGACAUUUCCCUCUGAAGUGGUUGGCAAAAUGGUAUCCAGUAUAAUUGAUUCAUUAGAAAUACUGUUUAACAAAGGAGAGACGCAUUCUGCUGUUGUUGAUUUUGAAGCAUUAAAUGUUAUCAUAAGGCUAAUUGAACAAGCCCCAAUUCAAAUGGGAGAAGAGGCAGUGAGGUGGGCAAAACUGGUCAUACCUUUAGUGGUUCAUUCAGCACAAAAGGUACAUUUGCGGGGAGCAACUGCCCUGGAGAUGGGAAUGCCAUUAUUGCUUCAGAAACAGCAAGAAAUAGCAUCUAUUACGGAGCAGCUUAUGACUACUAAAUUAAUCUCAGAACUUCAGAAGCUAUUUAUGAGUAAAAAUGAGACUUACGUGUUAAAAUUAUGGCCUUUGUUUGUCAAACUACUUGGAAGGACCUUGCAUCGAAGUGGGAGUUUCAUCAAUUCUCUGUUGCAACUAGAAGAACUUGGAUUUCGUAGUGGAGCACCCAUGAUUAAAAAGAUAGCUUUUAUUGCUUGGAAGAGUUUAAUAGAUAAUUUUGCUUUAAAUCCAGAUAUACUAUGUAGUGCAAAAAGACUCAAGUUGUUAAUGCAGCCUUUGAGUUCCAUCCAUGUGAGAACAGAAACUCUAGCAUUAACAAAACUAGAAGUCUGGUGGUAUUUGCUGAUGAGACUUGGACCUCAUCUUCCUGCUAAUUUUGAACAGGUUUGUGUGCCUCUGAUUCAAAGUACAAUAAGUAUUGAUUCUAAUGCCUCACCUCAAGGCAAUUCGUGUCAUGUAGCUACAUCUCCAGGUUUAAAUCCUAUGACCCCUGUACACAAAGGUGUUUCCUCCCCGUACGGAGCCCCGGGAACUCCCCGAAUGAACCUGAGUUCGAAUUUAGGUGGAAUGGCCACAAUCCCAUCCAUUCAACUUUUGGGACUUGAAAUGUUGCUUCAUUUCUUGUUGGGUCCAGAAGUCUUGAGUUUUGCUAAGCAAAAUAAACUUGUGCUGAGCUUAGAGCCACUGGAACAUCCGUUAAUCAGCAGCCCUUCUUUUUUUUCCAAACAUGCAAAUACACUUAUCACUGCUGUUCAUGAUAGCUUUGUUGCAGUUGGAAAAGAUGCCCCCGAUGUGGUUGUCAGUGCUAUCUGGAAGGAGCUAAUUAGCUUGGUGAAGUCAGUUACUGAAUCAGGUAACAAAAAAGAGAAACCAGGUUCUGAAGUUUUGACUCUCUUAUUAAAGUCUUUGGAAAGCAUAAUAAAGUCUGAAGUAUUUCCUGUAUCAAAAACGCUGGUCCUCAUGGAAAUUACAAUUAAAGGACUUCCUCAGAAAGUAUUAGGUUCACCAGCAUAUCAGGUUGCUAAUAUGGAUAUUCUUAAUGGAACUCCAGCUUUGUUCUUAAUUCAAUUAAUUUUCAACAAUUUCUUGGAAUGUGGUGUAUCAGAUGAAAGGUUCUUUCUCAGUUUGGAAUCACUUGUAGGCUGUGUUCUUUCUGGUCCAACUUCACCACUAGCUUUCAGUGACUCAGUUUUAAAUGUUAUUAAUCAAAAUGCAAAGCAGUUGGAAAAUAAGGAGCAUCUCUGGAAAAUGUGGAGUGUUAUAGUCACCCCAUUAACUGAAUUGAUUAAUCAGACCAAUGAAGUAAAUCAAGGUGAUGCCUUAGAACAUAAUUUUAGUGCCAUCUAUGGUGCAUUGACUUUACCAGUAAACCACAUUUUUUCAGAACAGAGAUUUCCAGUGGCCACCAUGAAGACUUUGCUUAGAACUUGGUCAGAAUUAUAUAGAGCAUUUGCUCGUUGUGCUGCUUUGGUGGCAACAGCAGAAGAGAACUUGUGCUGUGAGGAACUUUCUUCCAAGAUAAUGUCCAGUUUGGAAGAUGAAGGCUUUUCUAAUUUGUUGUUCAUGGAUAGAAUUAUUCAUACUAUUACUGUAAUGGUUGAUUGCAUUGACUUCUCACCAUAUAAUAUUAAAUACCAGCUCAAAGUUAAAUCACCACAGAGACCUUCAGAUUGGUCCAAAAAGAAGAAUGAGCCCCUAGGGAAAUUGACUUCUUUAUUUAAACUUAUUGUGAAAGUGAUCUAUUCUUUCCACACUCUGAGCUUCAAGGAAGCACAUUCCGAUACCCUCUUCACUAUUGGCAACUCAAUCACCAGCAUUAUUUCCAGUGUACUUGGACAUAUUUCUUUGCCUUCUAUGAUCCGAAAAAUAUUUGCAACUUUAACAAGACCUCUGGCAUUAUUUUAUGAAAACUCAAAGCUUGAUGAAGUUCCUAAAGUAUAUAGUUGUCUGAACAACAAGUUAGAAAAGCUACUGGGAGAAAUUAUUGCUUGUCUGCAAUUCAGCUACACCGGAACUUAUGACAGUGAACUUCUUGAACAACUCUCCCCACUAUUAUGCAUAAUAUUUCUGCACAAGAAUAAACAGAUUCGAAAACAGAGUGCUCAGUUCUGGAAUGCCACUUUUGCUAAAGUGACGAUGUUGGUUUAUCCUGAAGAGUUAAAACCAGUACUAACACAAGCCAAACAAAAAUUUCUGCUCCUGUUGCCUGGUUUGGAAACUGUUGAAGUGAUGGAGGAAUCCAGUGGACCAUAUUCUGAUGGAACAGAAAAUUCACAACUAAAUGUGAAGAUAAGUGGCAUGGAGAGAAAAUCAAAUGGAAAAAGAGAUUCAUUUUUGGCACAAACAAAGAAUAAAAAGGAAAAUAUGAAACCAGCAGCCAAACUGAAACUUGAAUCUUCAUCUUUAAAAGUAAAGAGUGAAAUUCUUUUGGAAGAGGAAAAGUCUACUGACUUCGUGUUUAUACCUCCAGAAGGAAAAGAUGCAAAGGAAAGAAUAUUAACUGAUCAUCAAAAAGAAGUUCUCAAAACAAAGCGGUGUGAUAUUCCUGCCAUGUAUAAUAAUCUGGAUGUUUCCCAAGAUACCUUAUUUACUCAGUAUAGUCAGGAAGAGCCUAUGGAAAUUCCUACUUUAACCAGAAAACCAAAGGAGGAUUCUAAGAUGAUGAUUACGGAGGAGCAUAUGGACAGUGACAUUGUCAUUCCUCAAGAUGUCACGGAAGACUGUGGUAUGGAUGAACAUCUUGAAAAGGCCUCCCUUUCAAAUAAUGAGUGUGGUUCUCUUGACAAAACCAGUCCAGAAAUGUCGAACAGUAAUAAUGAUGACAGAAAAAAAGCUUUAAUUUCAUCAAAGAAAACAUCAACUGAAUGUGCAUCUAGUACAGAAAAUUCUUUCGUUGUCAGCAGUAGUUCAGUUUCUAAUACCACUGUUGCUGGAACUCCCCCAUACCCUACAAGUCGGAGGCAAACCUUUAUUACUUUGGAGAAGUUUGAUGGUUCAGAAAAUAGACCUUUUAGUGCAUCCCCCUUGAAUAAUAUUUCAUCAACUGUUACAGUGAAAAAUAACCAGGAAACCAUGAUUAAAACAGAUUUUCUACCAAAAGCAAAGCAAAGAGAAGGGACUUUUUCGAAAUCUGAUUCUGAAAAAAUAGUGAAUGGAACUAAGAGAUCAAGCCGGAGAGCUGGUAAAGCUGAACAAACAGGGAAUAAAAGGUCUAAGCCCUUAAUGAGAUCUGAGCCAGAGAAAAAUACUGAGGAAUCUAUUGAAGGCAUUGUAGUCUUAGAAAAUAACCCACCUGGUUUGCUUAAUCAAACAGAAUGUGUGUCAGAUAAUCAGGUUCAUCUUUCUGAAUCUACAGUGGAGCAUGACAAUACAAAGCUUAAAGCAGCAACAAUGGAAAAUGCUGUAUUAUUGGAAACUAAUGCUGUAGAGGAGAAAAAUGUAGAAAUUAAUUUGGAAUCCAAAGAAAAUACACCCCCAGUAGUAAUAUCAGCAGAUCAAAUGGUAAAUGAGGAUAGUCAGGUUCAGAUAACUCCAACUCAGAAAACCCUUAGACGGUCUUCAAGGCGACGUUCAGAAGUAGUAGAGUCUACCACUGAAAGCCAAGAUAAGGAAAAUAAUCAUCAAAAAAAGGAACGACGUAAGGAAGAAGAAAAACCUCUUCAGAAGAGUCCAUUGCAUAUAAAAGAUGAUGUGUUACCUAAACAAAAACUGAUUUCUGAACAAACUCCACAGGAGAAUUUAAUUGAGAAAGGAAGUAAUUUACAUGAGAAGACUCUUGGGGAAACUAGUGUUAAUGCAGAAACUGAACAAAAUAAAAAAAAGGCAGACCCUGAGAACAUUAAGUCUGAGGGGGAUGGUACCCAGGACAUUGUAGAUAAGUCCUCUGAGAAACUAGUCAGAGGCCGAACACGGUAUCAAACAAGAAGAGCAUCUCAGGGUUUGCUUUCCAGCAUUGAAAACUCAGAAUCUGAUAGUUCGGAGGCAAAAGAAGAAGGUUCUAGGAAGAAGAGAUCUGGAAAAUGGAAAAACAAAAGCAAUGAAAUUGUUGACAUUCAAGAUCAAGAAGAGAAAGUGGUGAAACAGGAAUGUAUAAAAGCUGAAAAUCCGUCACAUGAUUAUAAAGCAGGUUCUGAAGAAGAUGUAAGCAUAAAACCUCAGAUUUGUGAAAAACAAGAUGAAAGUAGUACUGUAAUAUGUCAGGAUUCUACAGUAACUUCAGAUGUGUUGCAAGUUCCUGAUGAUUUACCAAAUGCGUGUGAGGAAAAAAGUGAAACUAGCAAAUAUGCAGAAUAUUCCUUUACAAGUCUACCUGUGCCAGAAUCAAAUCUAAGGACUAGAAAUGCCGUUAAGAGAUUACAUAAGCGAGACUCUGUUGAUAAUUGUAGUUUGGGAGAAUCCUCAAAAAUAGGGAUAUCAGAUAUUUCUUCGCUUUCAGAAAAAACUUUUCAAACACUUGAAUGUCAACACAAGAGAAGUAGGAGGGUGAGGAGAUCUAAAGGUUGUGAUUGCUGUGGGGAAAAAUCACAACUUCAGGAGAAGUCACUCGUUGGGUUAAAAAAUACAGAAAAUAAUGACGUAGAGAUUAGUGAAACAAAAAAGGCAGAUGUGCAAGCACCUGUAAGCCCAUCAGAAACUUCUCAAGCUAAUCCAUAUUCUGAAGGACAGUUUUUAGAUGAACAUCAUAGUGUGAAUUUUCAUUUGGGUCUCAAAGAGGAUAAUGAUACUAUUAAUGAUUCAUUAAUUAUUUCUGAAACCAAAUCAAAAGAAAACACUAUGCAAGAAUCUCUUCCUUCUGGAAUAGUCAACUUUAGAGAGGAAAUUUGUGAUAUGGAUUCUAGUGAAGCAAUGUCUCUUGAAAGCCAAGAGUCACCUAAUGAAAAUUUUAAAACUGUUGGCCCAUGUUUAGGAGACUCAAAAAAUGUUUCACAGGAAUCUUUGGAGACAAAAGAAGAAAAACCAGAAGAAACCCCAAAAAUGGAACUGAGUCUGGAGAAUGUUACUGUUGAAGGAAAUGCAUGUAAAGUAACAGAAUCCAAUCUAGAGAAAGCAAAAACUAUGGAAUUGGAUGUAGGAAAUGAAGCUAGCUUCCAUGGACAAGAGAGAACCAAAACUGGUAUUUCUGAAGAAGCAGCAAUAGAAAAAAAUAAAAGAAAUGAUGACUCUGAAGCAGACACAGCUAAACUGAAUGCCAAAGAAGUAGCAACUGAGGAAUUUAAUUCAGAUAUUAGUCUUUCUGAUACUGCUACACCUGUAAAAUUGAAUGCUCAAACUGAGAUUUCUGAACAAACAGCAGCUGGGGAACUAGAUGGAGGAAAUGAUGUAUCUGAUCCACACUCAUCUGAAGAAACGAAUACUGAAAUGAAAAAUUAUGAAGAAAUGAUGAUCGGCGAGGCAAAGGCUGAAACUGGCCAUGAUGGUGAAACAGAGAAUGAGGGCAUAACUACCAAAACCUCAAAGCCUGAUGAAGCUGAAACAAAAAUGUUGACUGCAGAAAUGGACAACUUUGUUUGUGACACAGUUGAAAUGAGCACUGAAGAAGGAAUCAUUGACGCUAAUAAAAGUGAAACAAAUACUGAGUGUAGUAAAUCUGAAGAAAAAUUAGAUAAUCAAAUGGUAAUGGAAAGUGAUAUUUUACAGGAAGAUCACCAUACUUCACAGAAAGUGGAGGAACCAUCACAGUCUCUGACAUCUGGAACAGCUAUCUCUGAACUAAUAAUAGAAGACAAUAAUGCAUCUCCUCAAAAACUAAGGGAACUUGAUCCUUCACUUGUGUCAGCAAAUGACAGUCCUAGUGGCAUGCAGACACGCUGUGUCUGGUCUCCUUUGGCUUCUCCAUCUACGAGCAUUUUAAAGAGAGGACUAAAAAGAUCCCAAGAAGAUGAAAUCUCAUCACCUGUUAAUAAGGUUCGCCGUGUCUCCUUUGCAGAUCCAAUAUACCAAGCAGGAUUGGCAGAUGACAUUGAUAGACGGUGCUCUAUUGUUAGGUCCCAUUCUUCGAAUAGUUCUCCCAUAGGAAAAAGUGUUAAAACUUCUCCUACUACACAAUCUAAGCAUAAUACCACUUCAGCCAAAGGAUUUCUGUCCCCAGGAUCACGUAGCCCUAAAUUUAAGAGCUCAAAGAAGUGUUUAAUUUCAGAAAUGGCCAAAGAAUCCAUACCGUGCCCAACAGAAAGUGUUUACCCAGCAUUGGUGAACUGUGUGGCACCAGUUGACAUCAUUUUACCUCAGAUUACAUCAAACAUGUGGGCAAGAGGCCUGGGACAACUCAUUAGAGCUAAGAAUAUAAAAACUAUUGGUGAUUUGAGUACUCUUACAGCAUCUGAAAUAAAAACUCUUCCUAUCCGUUCUCCAAAAGUGUCCAAUGUAAAAAAGGCUCUCAGAAUAUAUCAUGAGCAGCAGGUGAAGACUCGUGGACUAGAAGAGAUUCCAGUUUUUGAUAUUUCUGAAAAAACAGUAAAUGGAAUAGAAAAUAAAUCUUUGUCACCUGAUGAAGAAAGACUUGUCUCAGAUAUAAUUGAUCCUGUUGCUUUAGAAACUCCAUUAUCCAAAAACCUUGUGGCACAGAUUAGUGCUCUUGCUCUUCAGCUGGAUUCAGAAGAUCUUCAUAAUUAUUCAGGAAGCCAACUAUUUGAAAUGCACGAGAAACUAAGUAUUAUGGCAAACUCUGUCAUAAAAAAUCUACAGUCACGUUGGAGAUCACCAUCCCAUGAAAAUUCUAUUUAGUAUUUUCAGAGAAAAUUAAAGGUUUUUUUAAACAUCACUGGAUUUCUUGAUUGAGGAAACAAGUUCUGAAAUAAUAGCACAAUUUCAAAGAAGAGACUCUUUGCAAAGUUGAUAACAUUUCAAACCCUGAAGGACAGUGAUUUAUUAUUUUCUUGAAGAUGGCUCUUUGCAGCCUACGUGGUAGUGGAGAUAUAUACAAAGGACUUCCCUAGUAUCGUUGGACCAACAAGCACAAGCAGAUGACAGGAAGAUUAGAACAUUGGAUAUUGAUUGCCAGUUUUUAAGGCAGCCAGCCAAUCCUAAAGAAUUCCUGACUCACCGUUGAGAUGUGCCGUUGGGUCUCCCUCACCCGUCUCAUCUCGGGGGUAUCCAAUACGUAAGCAGCUUUGCCUUGUAUUUGUUUCCGGAAGCUAUCAGAAUAAAGAACCUGAUGGAGGAGAGACCAUGAAUGAGUGGUGCUGUCCUAAAUCUGAAACCUCAAAGCCUUUCCAGCAGAUAGAGAUGGAUAGGAGCUGGUGAGGGACGCUUGGGUCAACUGAAGGGGCCCAGUGAGACACAUGACCAACUUUGGAACAGGCUAAUCUGGGGACCAGGAGGGCCCGCCAGCGGAAGAGAAAGGACUUUUGACUUCGAAAAUGAAACUCAUUUUCAAAGAAGGGGCACGGUAUAAUUUUGAAAAGAAAAAGUGACCUCUUGAAAUUUGCUAGGAAUUACAGCAUCAACAUAUUCGAUGGUAUUUGGCUCUAAAUCUGAUAUUGAAGGGAAUUUGAAAGAACUGUCCUUUAAAACAACUGAUUAUUUUCCUUAGGUUAUGUCCAGACUUCAUAAACCAGUAUGCUAAUAUAGAAAUCAAAGUCCUCCAGACAUUAAAACCCCAAAAUAUAUCCAAAGAAGGCAUCCGUUUCAGAGUAUUACCCAUGUCAUAAAGUAUCUUAAAACUAAAGGAGAGCAGAAGAUUGAGGAUGUUAGAAGUAAAUUUGUUAUAGUUGGUUAUGUAGAACUACCCCAAGUAAAGUAUAGGGGAAGGAAAACAUUGGCAAUUAACUUGUUAUGUUUAGUAUGAUGGUUUGGAAUGUAAAAGCACAGUUAAUGUCAAUUUUAGUGUAAAUUUUCAGUUGAAUAAGUGCAAAUUUUUAUGGUGUUAAAACGUUACUUUCCAAGAUGUUGCAUUUUUCUCUUUCUUUUUAGUGUUUUUCAGUUGAAUGAGAAAGGCGUGUUUUUAUGAUGUUAAAAUGUUAUUUUCCAAGUUGUUGCACUAUUUCUUUUCAGUCCUAGAAAAUACCGAGCUAAUGUUUUCUUGGUUGCGCUUAGCUCUCUCCAUCUCUGGAGUAACAGGUGUCGGAGUUGCUUUUCUCAUGUUCUCUUUGUACAAUACCUAGGGAAGCCAAAAGAGCAUCCAGGCAUCAGACAGCAGAAAACCAGGUCUGAAAAUCAUCAUUUAGCUGGUGUUACGGCUCAUGUUAUGGCUCAGUUAUAUCACACUGAAGGUAAAGCUAUUAAAAUGUUAUGGUAGGAAGCAAAAGUUUAAGAAAGAAGUAAAAUCACUGUGACCUCGUGGGGUUGGUUUGUUGUUUUUAAGUGGACAAGGAAGAAUUUUUAGAGAUACACAAAAGUUUUGGAAAACUGUAAGAUAAAUUAGUGGUAUAACCAUGUUUGCCAGGGCUGUUAAGAUUUUAAGGAUUUAUUUUUCCUUUCUAAAAUACCGAGCUAAAGUUUUCUUGAUUGCGUUUCACUCUUUCCAUCUCAGGAGUAAAGGGUGUGGGGGUUGCUUUCCCCAGGUUCUCUUUGUAUAACACCUGUGAGAUACAAAGUCGUGCCCGAAAGUCACUACGAGGUAAUAAUCACUAUUAAUUAUAUUGCAAGUUGGGGGAAAACGCUGUGUUUAAUCUAUUACUAUUAGUGAGAACACCUCUCAAGAAGAAAGCUUAAAAAGAGUUAACGGCUACAGUAAAUGUAGUGUGAUAUUUAGAGCAGAUGCAAAUGUAACUGGCAUUUUGUUUGUUUUUAACCUGGGACAGGGUUAGGAGCAGGCCAAACUGCAAGAGUUAUUUUGCAAAAUUAAAAGCACUUUUGUUUCUCAAGACAAUACCGAGCUAAUGUUUUCUUGAUUGCGUUUGACUCUCUGCAUCUCAGGAGUGACAGGGGUUGGGGUGGCUUUCCCCACAUUUUCUUUGUACAAAACCUAUGCGAAUCCAAUGGAUCCAAAAAGCCAAAAAGAAAAAGAGUUACAGUUACCAAAAAAAGGAAAUGGUACAGAUAACUUUUGAUUAUCUUUAGGGCCCCAAACCAUUUGGGCAAUCAGGUUAGAUGGAAAGUAGUAUGUUUCCUAAGGAAGUUAAGUGUAGUUACAGCAAGACACAAUGUUUCCAGGAUAGGCCCCUGCCCUGAAACCCUUGAGGACUGCAAGAGAGAUCUGUGGUGUUCCUCAAAAGGAUGAGAAACCACCAUCAUUUUACUGCUAGUCUCUCAAUGUCAAGCCCCUGAGAGAUGAUCUAAACAGGAGUUACAGGCAUGAGCUUCAAUCACACUGAGAAGGUUGAGGCUGCUCCUAAUAUAUCAGCUGUUUUUCUUUUGUUUCGUUUUGUUUUUGAGACAGACAGAGUCUUGCUCUGUCACCCAGGCUGGAGUGCAAUGGCACGAUCCCUGCUCACUGCAGCCUCCGCCUCCCAGGUUCAAGUGAUUCUUCUGCCUCAGCCUCCUGAGUAGCUGGGAUUACAGGCAUGCACCACCAUGCCCGGCUAAUUUUUGUAUUUUUUAGGAGAGAUGGGGUUUCACUAUGUUGGUCAUGCUGGUCUUGAACUGCUGACCUUGUGAUCUGCCCACCUUGGCCUCCCAAAGUGCUGGGAUUACAGGCGUGAGCCACCACGCCUGGCCCACAGCAGCUGUUUUUUUUACUGGACUGUUUUGCAGCACUUAAACUCUCAUAGACAUACCAAUAAAACUGUAGGCCCUCAGACAAAGCAAAGGGUUUCCCCUACCCUCUUUUUCUUUGUUAUCCUCUAUGCUCUGCCUCUUGCUUUAGUUUCAUACAGCAUCCAGCUUAUCAUUAAGGAAUAAGGUUUUUGGCUCUUGUAUCACUGUCAGUCAUGGUAAAUCAGUAGAAAAUGAGAAACAUAGUAACACAUCGUGAUAAAUCCUCAACCUCGGUAUCUGCCCUCAGUGUCAUUCUUGGAAACGUGGGAAAUUUAGGAAAUGACAUUGAAGAGGAAGAAUUCUGUUGAAAUAGUGAUUCUCAACGUGGGGUCCUUGGACAGCAAGGUCAGUAAUGAGAACUUGUUAAAAAUGCAAAUUCUCUGGCCCCCUCUAUAACAGACCUACAGAAUGAGAAACUAGAGCAGGACCCAGCAAUCUGGCUUCACAAACCCUGCAUGUUAUUCUGAUGUGUGCUAAUGUUUUAGAAGCACUGUACUCAAGUACUGGAGAAACCUACAGACAGUGGAAAUGUGGACACCACAAGGUUGUUUGCUACUGAAAGCUGAAGUCCCCCUGCAAACCUCAAUCCCUGGGUAAUUUACAACCAUAUAUAAUGUCAUAGAGCACAAGCUUACAGGAAAUGGUUUACUAAAGUUUGCAGUUAAAGACUACAGUAAAACUAAAGAACAACAACAAAAAACGAAAAUUGGUAGAACAAAAAGCCAUUCUGGUGACACUUUCAUUUUUAAGUAAAUUGAUAAUCAAUUGCCAAAACUACUAUUGGAUCAUAAUUUAUAUCAUUAUUCUUGAAGGAGGGGAUCAGGGAUUAUUUUUCCCAAGGUCUCUUUGUCCAAAUCUGACAGGGUAAAUUAGAACCUGAAGUCAUUGACACAAAAACACAACAAAAUCAUAUUUAAGAAAGAGCCCCAUUGGACCUACUCUACCACCCCACACAUACCCAUCCUAAAUUUCAAGCAUAUCUAAAACAAAGAGACCUUGGGGGUAGUGGAUAGAGAGUAAGUAAGUUUGGGGAGAGAGAAGCAAAAAGAUGUUUUAUAGGAAAAUCUGUUACUUCUUGAUAUUAGAACUUUAUGGAUUAAAGCAACCUUGUUAUUAUGGGGUUAGGCUAGAAGUAGCCCAAAGGAAAAAAGGGUAAAUUUGCUAAAGAAAUUCACAAAAUUUAAGUUGUCUUUAAAAAGUAGGAUUAAUAUGUAUUAUUUUAAAUCAUGAAAGUAGUUUUUAAAAUCAGUAAGUAGUUUUUUUCUUUUCUCGCCAAGUACCGAGCUAAUAUUUUCUUGAUUGUGUUUCACUCUCUCCAUCUCGGGAGUGACAGGUAAAGGAGUUCCCUUGCCCAUGUUUUCUUUGUAUAACACCUGUGCGAUGAGAAAGCAUCCAGAAAAACAACCAUGAGUAACAUUUCAUUUGUUGAGAGGUUUUAAGGGUAAGGUCAGCUUCCUUGUUAAGAAAACACAGUCGUCCAAGGAGCCAGAAGUUAUAUGCUGACAAAAUGCCACCGACUACUUUAGUGGAAGCUGUUGUUGGGAUGGGGAAUCUGCACCCUCUAGAGAAGCAGGGACCUCAGCUGCUAGGGAAAGGCUGUCAGUUUUCCAUGUUAUUUUUUUUCAUUUUUGUGAGUAUGGUGCCUCCUAAACAAUCACAUGAGGAUUUGAGACUGUUAGAACUCAGUGUUGUUAUCCACACAAAUGGAAAAACUCAUUUUUAAAAAAUGAUUGAAAAUAUCAGAUGAAAUAAAAAAUCGAAAUUAACUGUAUUAUGGAAAUGGUGUUAGGCUAGAAGUAGCCCAAAGGAAAAAAGGAUAAAUUUGCUAAAGAAAGAAGUUCACAAAAUUUAAGUAAGUUGUCUUUAGAAAAUAGGAUUAAUAUGUAUUAUUUUAAAUCAUGAAAUAGUUUUUAAAGUCAGUAAGUAGUUUUUUUCUUUUCUUGCCCAAGUACCGAGCUAAUAUUUUCUUGAUUGUGUUUGACUCUCUCCAUCUCGGGGGUGACAGGUAGAGGGGUUCCCUUGCCCAUGUUUUCUUUGUAUAACACCUGUGCGAUGAGAAAGCAUCCAGAAAAACAACCAUGAGUAACAUUUCAUUUGUUGUUGAGAGGUUUUAAGGGUAAGGUCAGCUUCCUUGUUAAGAAAAAACACAGUUGUCCAAGGAGCCAGAAGUUAUAUGCUGACAAAAUGCCACCGACUACUUUAGUGGAAGCUGUUGUUGGGAUGGGGAAUCUGCACCCUCUAGAGAAGCAGGGACCUCAGCUGCUGGGGAAAGGCUGUCAGAGUUAUCCAUGUUAUUUUUUUUUUUCCUUUUUUGUGAGUACCAUGCCUCCUAAAUAAUUACAUGAGGAUUUGAGACAGUUAGAACUCAGUGUUGUUAUGCACACAAACGGAAAAACUCAUUAUUUUUAAAAAAGAUUGAAAAUACCAGAUGAAAUAAAAAAUUGAAAUUAACUGUAUUAUAGAAAUGGGAAUGGUGUUAGGCUAGAAGUAGCCCAAAGGAAAAAAGGAUAAAUUUGCUAAAGAAAUUCACAAAAUUUAAGUUGUUUUUAAAAAGUAGGAUUAAUAUAUAUUAUUUUAAAUCAUGAAAGUUUUCAAAAUCAUUAAAUAAGUAAGUAGUUUUUUUCUUUUCUUGCCAAAGUACCGAGCUAAUAUUUUCUUGAUUGUGUUUGACUCUUUCCAUCUCGGGAGUGACAGGUAAAGGGGUUCCCUUGCCCAUGUUUUCUUUGUAUAACACCUGUGCAAUAAGAAAGCAUCCAGAAAAACAACCAUGAGUAACAUUUCAUUUCUUGGGACGUUUUAAGGAUGAGGAAAAAACACAGCCAUCCAGAGCCAGAAGUUAUAUGCUGACAAAAUGCCACCAACUACUUUAGUGGAAGCUGUUGUUGGGAUAGGGAAUCUGCACCCUCUAGAGAAGCAGGGACCUCAGCUGCUGAGGAAAGGCUGUCAAGAGUUAUCCAUGUUAUUUUUUUUUCAUUUUUGUGAGUACAGUGCCUCCUAAACAAUCACAUAAGGAUUUGAGACUGUUAGAACUCGGUGUUGUUAUCCACACAAAUGGAAACAUUAUUUUUAAAACAUGUUUGUAAAUACCAGAUGAAGUAAAAAAUUGACAUUAACUGUAUUAUAGAAAUGGGAAAGUAUAUCCUUUUGUAAUAUAAGAUAUAUUAGAAGCAAAGAAGGGAAAUGGGCUUAAAACAAAAAUAAAUGUAAAGAUCAGUUUAAUUCUGACGUUAAGUGGCAUUUUUCCCCUUUCUUUCCAGAAUACCGAGCUAAGGUUUUCUUGAUUGUGUUUGACUCUCUGCAUCUCAGGAGUGAUGGGGAUUGGAAUUCCUGUCCCCAGGUUUUCUUUGUAUAGCACCUGUAUGAUGAGAAAGCAUCCAGAACAAAAAAAAGCAAUCAGUCAUUUUCCCCCUGCUUUGGAGCAGUUGGGAGUGGGAAGGGAGGGGGGAAGAGAGUAAGUUAGAGGAAGAGAAAUACCAGAAGCUUUUAGACUCAACCUGUUUGAGCCUAAAGACAUCUUCAAAAGCAAAGGAAUGCAGGAAAGAGCAGCAAAAACUAAGAAAUAGGAAAAGAAAGGUUGUUAUUUUCAUUGUUUGAACUAAUCUCUGCAGCACUGAGCAACCAUGAAAGAGAGCAAUUAGUCUUUCCCACCUUGUUACAAGGAGGGAAAAAAAGUAGAAACAGACAAGAGACAGAAAUAAAAACCAAGGAAGUUACUUUUGAUUUGAAAAUGCUAUUAAUCACAUAGGGAUAUUUGGGUUUUACAAACAUUGUGUAUAUGGAGACACAUACACGCAACUCUUCUUUUGUUCACUUUCAAAAGAAGUCAAAGUAUUUAAUUUUUAGUUUGGGUGAACAUAUUGAGAACAACGAUGGUUUAAGGCAAAUGGAGAGCAAUGACAAGGUGCUAAAAAAAACACUUCAAAAUAUCUGUACAAGUAACAGUAGAGAUAGAAAAGGUUAGAAUAAGAAACGAGGCUAAUAGUUGGAUCUUCGCAAAAUACAUUUGUUUAAGCUUUAGGUUCAGAUCAAAUUUGCCAAAGCAGUAUAAAUGUGGAUGCUUAGACACUGAGAAUGUUACAUUUAUAAAAGCAGGAAUAUAAUACUGAACACUUUUUUUAUUAAGUUAAAUGAUUAUAUUAAUGUUUUACCAAAAUGGGGAAAACUGAUUCAUAGGAAAUGGCAGCAUUAAGUUGGGAAAAAGACAGGUCAAAUUUUUUAUUGGGAUGAGUUGAUUAGAUUUUUUAAAUCUAGCCAUUAAUCUUUUUAAAAUUUUUUUUAAAUAGUUAAAGGAAUUUUUUAUUUUUAAAUACCGAACUAAAGUUUUCUUGAUUGUGUUUGACUCUCUCCAUCUCUGGAGUGAUGGGGAUUGGAAUCCCUUUUCCAACGUUUUCUUUAUACAACACCUGUAUGACACAAGAAAGCAUCCAGAAAAAACAAGAGCAGUCAAAACAGCCCUUUCAUCUACCUUGUGGGGAACCUGGUAUAAAACUACAGACGUCAGACAGAAAAGACAAAUUCAACAAGUCAACCUCUCUGUUCAGGCACAGACCUGGUUUUAAUGAUGAACUCUACAAUGCUAAUUCUGUAAAUGAAAAAGUACAAUGGAAAGCAUUAAGUUACAUAACGCUGAGGAAUCUUGUUAAUUCUACUUACAGUAUUUCAAAUCUAGUCAAGUCACUGAAAAUGUUCAAGUAUAAUCGGAAAUGUGUCUUUCCGAUAGCCGUUCCUGGUGAGACAUCCUCUUUAUAUAAAACCUGGGCAUUCAGAAUCAAGACAGUGUUACACAGAAGAAAAGAAAACCCAGCAGUUCCUGGAGAAAGACUAGGACACAUGGCUUCUGUGAAAACAAGGCAUUAGACGAUGUUCCCAGGCAAGUGCCAGAGCAUCGCACUUGACAUUUCCAUGUCAGUAUCAGUGACUCAGACCAGUUAUACAACAUGGAUCACUUUCCAGAUCUUAAGAUUUCUUCUAAGAUUGUGGUAUACCGUACUAACACAGGAUGAGAAGAGCCAGGAAAUGUUGAUUAACAACAACACCCUCCCAUAUGUAACACAAAAUCCAUUAAAGAAAUGCAAAGUCAGUCAGUUAUUUGGGGGAGGGAUAACAAAAGAAAUCACAAUGUCAAAAAGAAAUCCAUCUUCUUGGAGCAAGACAACACAUGUUACUGCUCUGGGAUUAAAAAAUUUAAAAAUAAAAGUUACGUUGUUAACAGAUUUAAAGUUAUUUCGCAUGGUCUCUGGAGAGAUGAUUUUGGGGCAAAGUAUGGGGGAUUUUAGCAAAUCACUGCUAGUAUUACUGAGGAGGUUAGAUGUUAAUUGUCUGUAUCAAUAUAAGGCUAGUAUAUUUUUAAAGAGGACAGUGAAAUGACUAGGUUAGCAUUAAAUGCAAAAUAAAUAGUAAAUAUACCGAGCUGAAAUUCUUCUGAUUUUCUUUUACACGCAGUAUUUCUGGCGUGUCUUGAACAACUGUAAUUUUUCCUUUACUGUUCUUAAGGUCACACUGGUAUUGGAGCUAUGAAGAAAGAGUAAACAUCUUGUUAAGAUUUCAA